UAUUGCAAUCAUCUUCAGCGCUUCCUAGUUAACUCAUGACAGUAAUACAUAAAACAAGGUUAAAAUGUUAUAAUUAAAUUGGUAACUUCCAAUCAAAUGAUUGUAAGUUGUUGAACUAUUGUAUUUAUUUAUGCAUUAUUUGGUAAUAGUAGUAAUUAGCAAGCAGGAGAAUUCUCUUCACUUUAUUGCUCCGAUACAUCACAGGGAGCGUCGCCAUGUUUUUCUUGGCUGUUUCUUCAAAAGCCUGCGAGGAAGAGACAGCAGUAUUCCAGUAGAGUAACAACAGAGUCCAUUAACUCAAGCUGGAGGCCCCUGUCAAAGGAAGUACAGAAAAAAAAACAACAAGUAGUAGUAUGUAACCUUUACCAAAGCACGAUAAUAAGUGUAUAUUUGUUCGUCCGGUUUAUCACGAGGGCGCUAACGUCACGCAGAAAUCUUGCAACAAUUUAUAAAAACAACAACUUGAAUGUAUCUGAUAUAAGACAACGUGCAACGAAAUUCAACAUUCAGGAAGAAAAGAGUGCCAAGUUUGAAGGUCAUGUGUAAACUUAUUUCCACUACAAAUGUCAUUCAGGGGUGGUAAUUCGAGGAUAACCUGCGCAGAAUCACCUGAUCUCCGCAAAAGCAAGCGGUUCGUGCAAGUAACAAAAUGCAGUGGUCUGUUACAAGUGGAUCGAAGGAGACAAGACACGACAGUUUGAAACAAGAAAGUGAGACACUUUGCUUUCUGAAGAACUGGAGCUGAUCGUGUAGUUGAUAGGUUUAAAUUUAAAGGUUAAGUAAAGUAAACUCAUACGAUUAGCAUACAUGACGAAUAUAGAAUUAAUACAGAGAUCAAAAAGUGUCAAGAAACGGGUUCUUUUGUUCUAUACUGGAUUAAAGUCAAGAUUUUGAGUGACCUAAGAUGACCUCUGCCUCCUUCCAUGGUGUAGGGUGAAUGCUCGUGGCUAUAAGUUAAUGCUACCGUGCAACCAAUGGCUGAGAAUAAAAGCUAUUAGAGGUCAGAACGAAUCUCUCUUGAUAGCCCCAAGACUGCACUCACAGAACAUAUUUUCUCUAUCUCUGUAGCUGACCAAUCAGAAUACAAGAUUACCUUGGACCAUAUAUUUCAAGAAGUAUCAACAUUAACAACAAUAGUCUACCAAAUGUAGGUCAAAACCUCGCUUGUACAACUUUUCAAUCGACACGAAGUUGGACAAAACCAACUGGAAAGAACUUUCUGAUUUGAAUUUCUUUGAUAAUUCUGAAAACAUUUAUAAAUGAAGUAUUUAUUUGAAGAUAAUCGUUAUCAAUAUUUGAUCGAGUUCGUGAUGAAAUGCCAUUUCAACUCCAGUUCCUUUAAUGCAAGUAUUGUUUGUUACCUGGCCUUGAUGCAACUUAAGGUUAGUCAACUUUCCCAGAAAAAAAAAAUCCCUUUUUAAAACGCAAUAUUUCUCAGUAGCUAAAAGUAAAUCACAGUAAAAGCUCUAAUCGUACGCCUAAAUUUAAGCUAGCAUUUUUCGUGAACGAAGAAAGAUCAAUUCGAUAUCAGCACGUAUGAGAAGUCCGAAGAAGUAGAAUGUUUAAAUUAAUGUGUAAUUUUUUACCAGCACUCUCCGAACGACAGGAAACAAACAGUACACGAGAAAGACAUUGAGUAUAAUAUCAUGGCGCAUAAAAAUAAAAAAGUACGCGUAUGUAAUAUACGUAUAUAUUCAAUUUACCAUUGUCCUGAUUUGAAUAAUAUAUUUUGUUCUUAUUUAAGCGAAAAACUACGCAUGUGCACUGUGUUAAGCGCGGGGAUUGAACCACUAUUUUAGCGUCGAAUGCUAAAGAAUGAUCCACAAAAUGACAAGCGAGACUGAUUUAGAAAGCAGGCUUUAGAAUUAGUUAAACAACAAUCAUUGGUUAACUUGUCGUGAUAAAUAUUAUCGCUGAUUUUUUUCAUGGCUAAACGUACGUUAAGUUCUAAUUUAUGAACUACAAAAGAAAGCUAUAGACUUCCAAGUUCAUGCAAAUCUGUAUUAAGAUACUUGUUAUGUAUUGAAUAAGAGACUGUACCAUUUUUACCAUUAAGUACCUGCAAAUUAAGAUCCAGUUUAAGAAAUUUCAAUUACGGGUACUAACACGUAGGCCCCCCCAGUGGCACAGCGGUAUGUCUGCAGACUUACAACGCUAGAAACCGGGUUUCGAU